rnacentral:SRP_RNA from 1 species
UGUUGGUCCUCCCGCGACAAUUAACCGUGAACUCCGCCAGGCCCGGAAGGGAGCAACGGUAACGGGGACGUUGGGCGCCGGGAUGUGGCUGGCUUGG